UCCAUCCUGUCACUGUGUUCCUAGUUUUCAGUUUAUUUUUAAUAGUAGCAGUCGUCAUAUGAAAAGACCAUUUGUUAAGUUGAUUUAUACUCAUAUUUAAUUGAAGCUCAUUAUUAAUUACAGCAGUGUCCAGGUCUGAGAGCUCUUCAUUUCUUCUUCCAUUGAUCGUUGGACUGGUUUGUGGAAUUUCACUGAUUAUUCUCCUGCUGCUGCUUCUUUGUUGCUGCAGAAAAAUAAAGGGUGAGACAUUUUCCAGUUGAUCAUUUACUAAAAAUCACUGAUAAAUUCUGAUCUUAUGACAUGAAGUGAAGAACACUUGUACACAUAUUUGUAUUUGUCUCUUUUCCAGAUGCAUGCAGUAACAGGUUGGUCCAACACUCUUGUCUCAUCUUGAUCAUCAUAACAAUACUUUCCAUGUUCCUUAUUAAACUCCUUCAUGCUUUAGUCUCUCUCAGUCUCUGAACAUCAACCAAGGCUCUGCUACACAGCAAACAGUGAACCAGAAUGAAACUCAAGUUUACUCCUCUCUUCUCCAUGCUGAUGUUUGUGUCUAUGAAUCAAUCAGAGGCUCUGGAAACACAGGAAGUGGGGAACCAGACCAUGAAUCCAGAAAUAUUACAUCUCAUCUUCAGCUUCAAGGGAGACAUGACACUGAGAAGAGCUCUGACUACAAUAACGUGAAUCCUGAAUCUUU